rnacentral:rRNA from 1 species
GGAAAGGCGCGCGAUACAGGGUGACAGCCCCGUACACAAAAAUGCACAUGCUGUGAGCUCGAUGAGUAGGGCGGGACACGUGGUAUCCUGUCUGAAUAUGGGGGGACCAUCCUCCAAGGCUAAAUACUCCUGACUGACCGAUAGUGAACCAGUACCGUGAGGGAAAGGCGAAAAGAACCCCGGCGAGGGGAGUGAAAAAGAACCUGAAACCGUGUACGUACAAGCAGUGGGAGCACGCUUAGGCGUGUGACUGCGUACCUUUUGUAUAAUGGGUCAGCGACUUAUAUUCUGUAGCAAGGUUAACCGAAUAGGGGAGCCGAAGGGAAACCGAGUCUUAACUGGGCGUUAAGUUGCAGGGUAUAGACCCGAAACCCGGUGAUCUAGCCAUGGGCAGGUUGAAGGUUGGGUAACACUAACUGGAGGACCGAACCGACUAAUGUUGAAAAAUUAGCGGAUGACUUGUGGCUGGGGGUGAAAGGCCAAUCAAACCGGGAGAUAGCUGGUUCUCCCCGAAAGCUAUUUAGGUAGCGCCUCGUGAAUUCAUCUCCGGGGGUAGAGCACUGUUUCGGCAAGGGGGUCAUCCCGACUUACCAACCCGAUGCAAACUGCGAAUACCGGAGAAUGUUAUCACGGGAGACACACGGCGGGUGCUAACGUCCGUCGUGAAGAGGGAAACAACCCAGACCGCCAGCUAAGGUCCCAAAGUCAUGGUUAAGUGGGAAACGAUGUGGGAAGGCCCAGACAGCCAGGAUGUUGGCUUAGAAGCAGCCAUCAUUUAAAGAAAGCGUAAUAGCUCACUGGUCGAGUCGGCCUGCGCGGAAGAUGUAACGGGGCUAAACCAUGCACCGAAGCU